rnacentral:rRNA from 1 species
GAUCCUGGCUCAGGAUGAACGCUAGCGACAGGCUUAACACAUGCAAGUCGAGGGGCAGCACGGUGUAGCAAUACACUGGUGGCGACCGGCGCACGGGUGAGUAACACGUGUGCAACCAACCCCGUACCGGGAGAUAACCCGCGGAAACGUGGACUAACAUCCCAUAAGACUCUAGAGCCGCAUGGCUCUGGAUUUAAAAUUCCGGUGGUACGGGACGGGCACGCGCGACAUUAGGUAGUUGGCGGGGUAAGGG